rnacentral:misc_RNA from 1 species
GGAAGUAAAAGCGUAACAAGGUCUCCGUUGGUGAACCAGCGGAGGGAUCAUUACUGGAAUCGCAAGAUCCCACAACCCUGUGAACCUACCGAAACGUUGCCUCGGCGGGUGCCCGGCCUCUACGCCGGGCGCUGCGCCCGCCGGCGGCCCCCUACUCUGUCUCUGCAGCGUGGCAUCUCAGAGUCCCAGAAAACAAGUCAAAACUUUCAACAACGGAUCUCUUGGCUCUA